GACGAACGCUGGCGGUGUGCUUAACACAUGCAAGUCGAACGGUAAGGCCCUUUCGGGGGUCCACGAGUGGCGAACGGGUGAGUAACACGUGAGUAACCUGCCCUCAUCUCUGGGAUAACAGUCGGAAACGGUUGCUAAUACUGGAUAUGAGCUUGCAAGGCAUCUUGUGGGUUGGAAAGAUUUUUUUUGGUUGGGGAUGGACUCGCGGCCUAUCAGCUUGUUGGUGAGGUAGUGGCUCACCAAGGCUUCGACGGGUAGCCGGCCUGAGAGGGCGACGGGCCACAUUGGGACUGAGAUACGGCCCAAACUCCUACGGGAGGCAGCAGUGGGGAAUAUUGCACAAUGGACGGAAGUCUGAUGCAGCAACGCCGCGUGCGGGAUGACGGCCUUCGGGUUGUAAACCGCUUUCAAUUGUGACGAAGCGUUUUUGUGACGGUAGCAGUAGAAGAAGCACCGGCUAACUACGUG
rnacentral:rRNA from 1 species